CACAGCACCAGUAACCUUGUCUGAUGUGAUCAUUAACCUUUCUGGAAAAUGCAGCUGGCAGUUCUCUGAGGCUCGUCAUUAGAAUGUGAGGAAAGCCACACAGAUAUUGCCCAGACUAUUCAAAGAUUGUUUGGUUUACACUGAGAGCUAUUGCUCCGCUUCCGUGCGGCAGAAAAAUGAGGUUGCAACAAUUCUUUUGUGUAUUUUUUAUUUUUGUGAUGAGUCUUCUUCUUAUCAACGGGCAGAGACCAGCUAAUUUGGCGUUGAGAAGAAAAUUGCACAGACACAACUGCCUUCAGAGGAGAUGUAUGCCACUCCAUUCACGGGUGCCCUUCCCCUGAGGGGAUAAGAAAGAAUCAAGACUGGCUUGCAUGGAUUCAAGCUCUGGCCACAAGCUCGUUCAGUGGUCAUUGAUCUUAAGCUAACUUCACCUGGUCUGCCAGAAGAGGAGUGAAUAAAAGAUACCCACCCACACCAUAGUGUGAUUGCUUAGAAGUUCCUGUACAAAAAAGAAUCAUUUGAAAGCACCUGCGAUGGUUUCUUAGUUUUACAGGAUUCUCUUUUUCCUGGUUUCUCUUUAGAGGGGAAAAUAACAUAAAUUCAAAAACAAUUCCAAUCCGAAGCACAGUUAUUUGCUUAUAUAACAAAAUCUCUCAUCUUUUUCUGUAUAUUACUAUUCUUAGAUGAGUUAAAAAGAAAUAUACUUUUUAAUGUCUUAGAACUCUGUAAUAAUAAAAAGUACAAGAAUUAAAAUUUUUCUUUCAUAGUCCUAUAAUUCUCCAAAAUUAAAAUAAGUGUUUAUAUGUUUGAGUGAUUUUUUCCAAAAAUGCUAAAUCUGAAAUAAAAUGCAUUGGUCAUUUGGCUUUACAGAAUAGGGAUAAAUUAAUUGCUUCAUCGAUUCUUUAUAGAGAGAGACUAAGAAAGAAGCUACCGACUGCUACCAAUUUUAAAUUAUAGGCUUUAAUGUUUAUGAAAGUAUUUUUUUAUUUUAAAUAAUAUUCAUAAAGUCGUAAAGAAAGUUUUAAAAACUAACUGAAAUGAUCAUUUCUGAAUCUAUUUCUUAUUAUGUAAUUAUAAGAAGCCAAUGUUUGAUUUCCUUUGAAGUUCUGUUAGAUCUUUCCAAGUUGUUAGAUACACUCUUAAUUUGUAUUCAUUGAAAAGAUCACUCAAUGCCAUAAGGUUUUUAUUUUAUUGUAAGUUAAUUCCAGGUAUGAAAUUUACAAAUUCUUUUCUUGAUUAGAAAUUUUGCUUUGUAAACAUUAUAGAGUAGGAGAAGCCAUAAGCCAUUAACCCUUAUUUUGCUAAAAUAAAUUUGGGAUUGGUAUACUCUAAAGAAUUUGAGACAGAAAUUCUGAAAUCACAGAGUUUGUCUCCCUUUCACAGUUUAUUAAUGGCAUCUUUUGGGAUGAAAAGUGUUUAUAGAAAGAACUGUAAUUAACUUUAAACACUAAAGAUGUUUUAUGAAAUGUGUUACCUCAUUUAAAUUGGAUAUUUUGGGGAAAUUCUUUUUUUAAAAAAAUUUCUUUUGGGGGAGCCUGGGUGGCUCAGUCAGUUAAGGGUCCAACUUCAGCUCAGGUCAUAAUCUUGCUGUCUGUGAGUUCCAGCCCUGCGUGAGACUUUGUACUGACAGCUCAGAGCCUAGAGCCUGCUUCAGAUUCUGUGUCUCCCUCUCUUUUUGUUCCUCCCUUGCUCACACUCUGUUUCUCUCUCUCUCAAAAAUAAACAUUAAAAAAAAUUUUUUUAAUAAAUACAAAAUUUUUAAAAAUUCUUUUCAAUUAAUUAAUCUCUACCCCCAACGUGGGGCUGGAACUCACAACCCAAAGAUCAAGAGUCACAUGUGCCACCAACUUAGCCAGCCAAGCGCCCCUAAUUUUGGGGAAAUUAUAAAUGCUUUUCUGGAUAAAUCGUAAUUCCUUUACACAAGUGCAUUUUGAUAGAACAUAAGCUAUUAUCAGUUAUAUUUAUUUUUAAAACAUAUACUUGUUCAUAUACUUUGUGCAAAUAAAGAAAAGCAAUACUUUAUACAGUUAAAAUACGUCUCAUUGAAUACAAGCCAAUACUAUUUCAAGUACAGACUGACAUUCACAAAGUUAAAAACCAACCAUACCAUUGUAAUGUAAUUAAAUGGUUGUAGAUAACUGCUCAUACAACUGCAGUGAGUUUUCAAUAAAACAAUCGAGUGUCUACUUGUCCUUAUUCUGUAUAAGAAAUGUUCAAAGUGUUGAGCACAGCAUGGUAGAAAUCGUUCUGAUACUUUUCUUUAUUUCCAUUGUUUGUUCCUUGAUAUAUACCUUGCCACUACAGUUUUUUACUUAAUUCAGGAUUAUCAAAGUAAGGGCAGAGAUUCUCAAUGUCUACAAAAGCCCAGCAAUAAAAUCUGAAAAAAAUCAGGUAUGCUGAAAGUGGCAUACAAGAACGAAUCCAUGACAAUGGAACCAAAUUUAUUCACCGGUGAGAUGGAAGGGGAAACAGGAAUGUCAAAGAUGUAUACCGGUUUUUUUGUUGUUUCUAG